rnacentral:rRNA from 1 species
CCUGCCGGCGGGCACCGCUAUCGGAAUGCGAUUAAGGCAUGCGAGUCGAGAGGUGUAAGACCUCGGCAGACGGCUGAGUAACACGCGGAUAAUCUGCCCUGGAGUGGGGGAUAAUCUCGGGAAACUGAGGAUAAUACCCCAUAGGUGUGGUAUGCUGGAAUGCUUCCACGCUAAAAGCCCCGGCGCUCCAGGAUGAGUCUGCGGCCUAUCAGGCUGUAGUGGGUGUAACGGACCCACUAACCUACGACGGGUAGGGGCGUUGAGAGAAGGAGCCCCCAGAUGGAUUCUGAGACACGAAUCCAGGCCCUACGGGGCGCAGCAGCUACGAAAACUGCCCAAUGUGGGAAACCACGAGGCGGGGAUUCCGAGUGCCAAGGCAUUGCUUUGGCUGUUCUUUCGCCUAAAAAGCGAGAGAAGUAAGGGCCGGGUAAGACGGGUGCCAGCCGCCGCGGUAAUACCCGCGGCCCGAGUGGUGCUCAUUAUUAUUGAGCUUAAAGCGUCCGUAGCCGGCCUUGUAAAUCUUUGGGUAAAUCGAGCAGCUCAACUGUUCGAAUUCCGAGGAGACUGCAAGGCUCGGGACCGGGAGAGGUUCGAGGUACUCUCGGGGUAGGGGUAAAAUCCUGUAAUCCUGAGAGGACCACCAGUGGCGAAGGCGUCAAACUAGAACGGAUCCGACGGUGAGGGACGAGGCCCUGGGGCGCAAACGGGAUUAGAUACCCCGGUAGUCCAGGGUGUAAACGCUGCGGGCUUGGUGUCGGAGGUCCUGCGUGGGCGUCCGGUGCCGGAGAGAAAUUGUUAAGCCUGCCGCUUGGGGAGUACGGUCGCAAGACUGAAACUUAAAAGGAAUUGGCGGGGGGAGCACCGCAACGGGGAGGAGCGUGCGGUUCAAUUGGAUUCAACGCCGGA